rnacentral:pre_miRNA from 1 species
AUAUGAAGCUCCAAAGGAUCUUAUUAAAACGCAGUUUCUGACUCUAGGUCUAGGAUGGGACCUGAGAAUCUGCAUUCUAGCUCCCAGGUGAUGCCAAU